UAAUAGGUUUGUUUCCUGCAACUCGAGAU
rnacentral:sRNA from 1 species